rnacentral:rRNA from 1 species
UAGUCCACGCCGUAAACGAUGUCAACUAGCCGUCGGGUCCUUUUAUGGGCUUGGUGGCGCAGCUAACGCGUUAAGUUGACCGCCUGGGGAGUACGGUCGCAAGAUUAAAACUCAAAGGAAUUGACGGGGGCCCGCACAAGCGGUGGAGCAUGUGGUUUAAUUCGAUGCAACGCGAAGAACCUUACCAGCUCUUGACAUCUUCGGAACCUGGCAGAGAUGCCGGGGUGCCUUCGGGAACCGAAUGACAGGUGCUGCAUGGCUGUCGUCAGCUCGUGUCGUGAGGUGUUGGGUUAAGUCCCGUAACGAGCGCAACCCUUAUCCUUAGUUGCCAGCACCUCGGGUGGGAACUCUAAGGAGACUGCCGGUGACAAACCGGAGGAAGGCGGGGAUGACGUCAAGUCAUCAUGGCCCUUAUGAGCUGGGGCUACACACGUGCUACAAUGGACGGUACAGAGGGUUGCUAACCUGCGAAGGGGAGCUAAUCCCAUAAAACCGUUCGUAGUCCGGAUUGCAGUCUGCAACUC